rnacentral:tRNA from 1 species
AGUUUAAAGAUUUAAAAUUUAAAGUUGUGGUCUUUUAGAUAGGGUUCCUCUUAAAUA